rnacentral:lncRNA from 1 species
UGUCGACGUCGGCGAACAGUAAUGAGUUUGUAAAUGUUGGCGACGUUGGCGAACAGUAAUGAGUUUGUAAAUGUUGGCGACGUUGGCGACGUUGGGGAACAGUAUUGAUUUCAUAAAUGUUGGCGACGUUGGCGACGUUGGCGAACAGUAAUGAGUUUGUAAAUGUUGGCGACGUUGGCGACGUUGGCGAACAGUAUUGAUUUCAUAAAUGUUGGCGACGUUGGCGACGUUGGCGAACAGUAAUGAGUUUGUAAAUGUUGGCGACGUUGGCGAACAGUAUUGAUUUCAUAAAUGUUGGCCACGUUGGCGACGUUGGCGAACAGUAUUGAUUUCAUAAAUGUUGGCGACGUUGGCGACGUUGGCGAACAGUAAUGAUUUCGUAAAUGUUGGCGACGUUGGCGACGUUAGC